AUGUUAUGUAAAAUGCACUAUAUAAAUAAAAUCUAGAAGUCAGGAUUGACUUUGUGCACAAAAUUAUAAUAAGGUAAGUGAAUACUUAUGUGUAUAGUAAUAUAUAUGGCGCUUUAUCUACUUUAUUGAGUUUGAAUUAACAUUGUAUCAUAAAACAAAUUUAUUUUAUCGGUGUAUGUUAACUGUCUUCAUAUGUCUUUUGAUUGAGUUAAGCUAUUUCAGGCGAUAUUGCAUAGUGUGUCUUUCUAUGUCGUGUCAGAUAAGGGCAAAAGUUCAUAUUCAAACGUUUACAAAUGUUGACCUGGAUAAAGAGUUGUCUCAUUGGCACUCAUACCACAUCUUCUUAGAUCUUUUUACUUUCAGUUUUAUUAGGUUUCAUAACAAAAAUGAAAGUUGGGUUGUGAACUCACUUAUUACCUUAUUACUCAAAUACAUUAAAAACAACAUUUAGAAUGUUUUCUUUACAAAUGUAAUAAAUCUAACAUUUGUUUUUUUCUCAAAUUUAUGAAAAUGGAGAGCAAAGGAGAGAUAAGUAAAUAUUCGGGAAUCAAUAUUUCAGCGAUUUGACAAAGAAACACGUUUUUAAAGAUUAAUUGAUAUAUUUGACCGUGAUAUUCAUUCCAUAUAUAUCGGAAGAACGAAAUUAUUAUGGCAAAUGUAAAGUACGAAUGACUACAGAUGUUGUAUAUUGUCACGUGAUUAGAAUUUGUAACUGUGUUUUGCCUCUUUUGUGCUUUCUCCAAAAACAUAUAUCCGAUAACUCAAGAUAUUGAUAUGUUGGAAUGUUAAUAAUUUGUCAAAAUAUUUUUAUCUGAAAAACGAGAUUGAAAUUCAUAUGAUGAUUAAAUAGGUUUGAUCAAAAUGAUGGCAAUGUUCUGUUAUUCCUCAGUGGAAAAAAACGUACUCCGGCUUGUUCCACCAUUAAAAGAGGGGCGAAAGAUACCUGAGGGACAUUCAAACCUAUCUAAGAAAGAGAAAAAAAUAUGUAUUCGAAAUAAUUUGAAAUUCUAUCAUUUCCAGAUAUAAAUACCACCAAAUUUAUACUACUUGUAUUUAAAUAGAUCAUUAUUUACUCAAUCAUAUAAUAUUUUAUAUUAAUGAGUUACAGAAUGUAUUUAAAAUGAAAUCAUGAAUGUGUAGUAGAAUUUACUUUGAGGUCGGAAUAAACAAACCAGAGUUAUUGCCUUGUGUUCUUCUUCAGGGGUAAAUUCAUUAAAAAAAGAUCUAUUAGACUUCAAUGCAAACCUAUUUCUUGAUUUUCAUUCCUACCUGAUUUACUUUUAGAAAUCAGAAACUUUCAUAUAUAAUUCAUAGAAGUUUCACAUGGCCGUGUUCACAAACACUGUUAUGUAGGAUCGCACCAAGUUGCUACUCUGACCCGUUACCUUUUAUAUCUGUAGUAAAAACAAUUUUGUUUUUAUUUUCAGUUAUAGACGAUGCAUUAUAGAUAUGUGUUUAUGUUUUGUGUGUAUUUAGGAGUAAUUGAAACAGAGGUGGUAAACAAUUUUAGUAGUUUUUCCAGAUGUGGUCGAUUCUUUUACAAAGGACAACGACCAAGUAUCAGGAAUUCUACUGGAGAUAUUGUUUACAUAUGUCAAAAGUACAAUGAUCAGUAUUUCUAUGCUACUGUCUAUGAUAAAACUAAUAGAAUUCCAAUAUACAGUGCAGUACAACUUAUCCAGCCUGAUCAAAACAGAAACGACAAGCGUCUCGGUGACAAAUUUUUUAUCGAACCAAACCUUGCAGAUAGAGGCGGAGGAAAUAUGAUUGAGGUUAAUAACCUUGAACAUAAUUUGAACAAUGUGCAUAGCGCAAAGUUUGGACAAUAUCAAGCACUGGAUAUAGACUACAAAGACAGUGGUUACGACAGAGGACAUUUAAAUCCCCAAAUAUUCAACACACAAAACGAAAACAGUAGAUAUGCAACCAACACGCUCACUAAUAUUGCUCCUCAAUAUGGACCAUUCAACCAGGGAACAUGGAAUAUUAUGGAGAAUGGUCUUUUGAACGCUGUAAGAGAUAAAUGUAAGUUUCCUGGAGCAAAAAGCUAUGUUGUCAUAGGAGUACAACCUAGCAACGAUAAAUUCAUUACGCGAAAAAUAGAAAAGACUGUAACAACACCCAGGGGGAAACAAAAAACUAAAAACGAAUAUGAAAACAGAGUGAAUGUACCGGAUUUUUAUUGGACUGCGAUUUGUUGUGAUACAUCCAUGGCAACUCAUCAUACAGAUAUGGGAUGGUCUUUUGGAUAUAAAGCGAAUAACAUUAAUGAGAGUUCGGUACUCGUUUCUUUUUACCCUGUUCACGAUUUUCUAUCGAAUCUUUACUCACAAAUAUUUGCUGACUAUAAAGUUAGUGAUGUGUAUACUGUACAUGGAUGUGAAUUCAAUAGAAACAAUACUAUAAGAAUCAUCAGGCACAUUAAGGACAGUAUUAAACAAGGUCCAAUAUUUGAAGCAA
rnacentral:lncRNA from 1 species